rnacentral:rRNA from 1 species
UGGACGAAAGUCUGACGGAGCAACGCCGCGUGAGUGAUGAAGGUUUUCGGAUCGUAAAACUCUGUUGUUAGGGAAGAACAAGUACCGUUCGAAUAGGGCGGUACCUUGACGGUACCUAACCAGAAAGCCACGGCUAACUACGUGCCAGCAGCCGCGGUAAUACGUAGGUGGCAAGCGUUGUCCGGAAUCAUUGGGCGUAAAGCGCGCGCAGGUGGUUCCUUAAGUCUGAUGUGAAAGCCCCCGGCUCAACCGGGGAGGGUCAUUGGAAACUGGGGAACUUGAGUGCAGAAGAGGAAAGUGGAAUUCCACGUGUAGCGGUGAAAUGCGUAGAGAUGUGGAGGAACACCAGUGGCGAAGGCGACUUUCUGGUCUGUAACUGACACUGAGGCGCGAAAGCGUGGGGAGCGAACAGGAUUAGAUACCCUGGUAGUCCACGCCGUAAACGAUGAGUGCUAAGUGUUAGGGGGUUCCGCCCCUUAGUGCUGCAGCAAACGCAUUAAGCACUCCGCCUGGGGAGUACG